AUCGAACGCUGGCGGCAGGCCUAACACAUGCAAGUCGAACGAGUGGCGGACGGGUGAGUAAUGUCUGGGAAACUGCCUGAUGGAGGGGGAUAACUACGGGAAACGGUAGAUAAUACCGCAUACCAUCGGAUGUGCCCAGAUGGGAUUAGCUAGUAGGUGGGGUAAAGGCGCACCUAGGGGACGAUCCCGAGCUGGUCUGAGAGGCUGACCAGCCACACUGGAACUGAGACACGGCCCAGACUCCUACGGGAGGCAGCAGUGGGGAAUAUUGCACAAUGGGCGCAAGCCUGAUGCAGCCAUGCCGCGUGUGUGAAGAAGGCCUUCGGGUUGUAAAGCACUUUCAGCGGGGAGGCGUUACCCGCAGAAGAAGCACCGGCUAACUCCGUGCCAGCAGCCGCGGUAAUAC
rnacentral:rRNA from 1 species